rnacentral:rRNA from 1 species
GACGAACGCUGGCGGCGUGCCUAAUACAUGCAAGUCGAACGCACGAAGUUGAAGAGCUUGCUCUUUAACCAAGUGAGUGGCGGACGGGUGAGUAACACGUGGGUAACCUACCCAUUAGAGGGGGAUAACAUUCGGAAACGGAUGCUAAUACCGCAUAGUUUCAGGAAUCGCAUGAUUCGUGAAGGAAAGGUGGCUUCGGCUACCACUAAUGGAUGGACCCGCGGCGUAUUAGCUAGUUGGUGAGGUAAUGGCUCACCAAGGCAAUGAUACGUAGCCGACCUGAGAGGGUGAUCGGCCACACUGGGACUGAGACACGGCCCAGACUCCUACGGGAGGCAGCAGUAGGGAAUCUUCCGCAAUGGACGAAAGUCUGACGGAGCAACGCCGCGUGAGUGAAGAAGGUUUUCGGAUCGUAAAACUCUGUUGUUAAAGAAGAACAAGGAUGAGAGUAACUGCUCAUCCCCUGACGGUAUUUAACCAGAAAGCCACGGCUAACUACGUGCCAGCAGCCGCGGUAAUACGUAGGUGGCAAGCGUUGUCCGGAUUUAUUGGGCGUAAAGCGAGCGCAGGCGGUUCUUUAAGUCUGAUGUGAAAGCCCCCGGCUCAACCGGGGAGGGUCAUUGGAAACUGGAGAACUUGAGUGCGGAAGAGGAGAGUGGAAUUCCACGUGUAGCGGUGAAAUGCGUAGAUAUGUGGAGGAACACCAGUGGCGAAGGCGACUCUCUGGUCUGUAACUGACGCUGAGGCUCGAAAGCGUGGGGAGCAAACAGG